UACGAAGGGGGCUAGCGUUGUUCGGAAUUACUGGGCGUAAAGCGAACGUAGGCGGUGUUCCAUGUCAGAGGUGAAAGCCUGGGGCCCAACCCCAGAAUUGCCUUUGAAACGGGAACGCUUGAGUCCGAGAGAGGGUGGCGGAAUUCCUAGUGUAGAGGUGAAAUUCGUAGAUAUUAGGAAGAACACCAGUGGCGAAGGCGGCCACCUGGCUCGGUACUGACGCUCAGGUUCGAAAGCGUGGGGAGCAAACAGG
rnacentral:rRNA from 1 species